GGUGGCUGUAGCUCAGUGGUAGAGCACUGGAUUGUGGCUCCAGGUGUCGCGGGUUCGAUCCCCGUCAGUCACCCCCA
rnacentral:tRNA from 1 species